UAUUAGCCGAUCGUUUAAUACAAUCGAAAACGAUAGUGAAACGUUCGUUUGUUAUUAUAAAGUAUUAAAAAACAAAUAACCAUUCUUGCAAGGUUUAAAGUAUAUCGAGUGGGCGAUAAGUAGGAGAAGAUGAAAAUUAGAGAAGAAUUUUCUACAAAAUUUCUAAUUGCUCUUCUUCUUCUAAUACUUACAGAGUCUUCCCUUGUUAGUACGUACAGAUUCUUCGAUAGAAAAUUAGAUCUUGGAAUAUAAUCAUUGCAAGGACUCUUUGCUCGCCAAGUCGA
rnacentral:misc_RNA from 1 species